AUACGUAGGGGGCGAGCGUUGCCCGGAAUGAUUGGGCGUAAAGGGCGCGUAGGCGGCCCGGUAAGUCUGGAGUGAAAGUCCUGUUUUUAAGAUGGGAAUUGCUUUGGAUACUGUCGGGCUUGAGUGCAGGAGAGGUAAGUGGAAUUCCCAGUGUAGCGGUGAAAUGCGUAGAGAUUGGGAGGAACACCAGUGGCGAAGGCGACUUACUGGACUGUAACUGACGCUGAGGCGCGAAAGUGUGGGGAGCAAACAGGAUUAGAUACCCUGGUAGUCCACACUGUAAACGAUGAAUGCUAGGUGUAGGGGGUAUCGACCCCUUCUGUGCCGCAGUCAACACAAUAAGCAUUCCGCCUGGGGAGUACGGCCGCAAGGUUGAAACUCAAAUGAAUUGGCGGGG
rnacentral:rRNA from 1 species